rnacentral:lncRNA from 1 species
UGAGAAGAGUUUAUUAUUUACAAGAGAAGGGGACACACUACCCUAUGCAGGGCCACAGAGGGAAGCACCAGGUUUGGUCAAGAGGCAGCAAGGAGUGAGGGGAAAGCAUGACCCAGAGCUUUUUUGAGUUUUCCAAGGACUGGCUGGUUUGAAUAAUGUCAUGGACUGUGGGCUAUAGGGAUGGUCUCUUGUUUCUGGUACCUGGCCCUGGGUUGAUUUAGGACAGGGAAAAUAUUGGCUUGGUGUAUGAGAGGUGGGUGAGAAUAUGGGCUGAGGAUUGGUUUGCAUAUGGAAUGUACAUUCUCAGGGAAGUUGUUUACUAUCUAAGAAUUAGCUGGCCCUGGAGGGGGCAGUCUCUCCCCAGGUGGCUAGGCCCCUCAAGAUGUCAAAACACCAUAAAUUACAGAAAAUACAAAACAUGAUUAACACAAGAGACCAGACAGAAAAGGUCACAUAGCAUAUGAUUCCAUCAAUAUUAAAUCUCCAGAAUAGGCAAAUUCUGGAGUUUGACACAGAUUUUUGCCAAUAAAAAUCCUGGCAUCUAGAAUUAUGAGUUUCUUUCUGAGGUGAUAAAAAUGUUCUAAAAUUAACUGGUGGUGAUGGUUGCACAUAUCUAUGACUAUACUAAAAACCAUGGAAUUGUGUACUUUAUAUGGGUAAAUUGUAUGGUAUAUGAGUUAUAUCUCAAUAAAGCUAUCAUAAAAAAAAAAAGAUGUAGUGUUAGAGUGAAAAGUCAGAUUGAAAAAGACGACUCUCUCUUUUCCCUCCCUAUUCAGGAACCAACUGGAUAUUGGAGAUCGUCCACUCCAAGGGAGGUCCCAGCUGGGAACAAUCUGUUGUCAACUGGGAUCUAUCACCAUAGAUAGAAAAUAAAUCUAGCUGGGCAGGAACAAGAAUCAGAAAGACCCUCGCUUCUGAACCUCCCAUCUCCUCAUUCAAUUCUUUCCCAGGUCGUUCUUCAAUUCCAAGGCCGAGCUGAUAACGCAACGUCAGUUUGCAUCACUUCUCUGGUUGUCUUGAAUGCCUGUGUCU